rnacentral:rRNA from 1 species
UACGUAGGGACCAAGCGUUGUUCGGAUUUACUGGGCGUAAAGGGCGCGUAGGCGGCAUGACAAGUCACUUGUGAAAUCUCCGGGCUUAACCCGGAACGGCCAAGUGAUACUGUCGCGCUAGAGUGCGGAAGGGGCAAUCGGAAUUCUCGGUGUAGCGGUGAAAUGCGUAGAUAUCGAGAGGAACACCUGAGGUGAAGACGGGUUGCUGGGCCGACACUGACGCUCAUGCACGAAAGCGUGGGGAGCAAACAGG